rnacentral:lncRNA from 1 species
GACCACUAGAUAGCGUUACAGCGCUGUGUGACCUGAUAGCACUUAUUAACAUAUUACUCCAUGACUCUUGUGAUCAAUAGGACCAUGAUUAAUCAAUAACACAUUAAGAAUUUCUCACGAUGACUGUUAAUGGUGGUUGGCAACCACAAUGAACUAUCUAGUUAAUGUUGUUAAUUUUUAAUACAGAAAUGAUCGUUUCUGGUGCUUAAGUUCACACAGACAACUACUGAACUGUGCCAUGUGUCAUGUGACUCUUGUUUUCAUAAACAAACAUGAAAAGUUCCCUGAUCUGUUUGUUUUAGUGCUGAUCAGGGAGAGCAGGGACUAGAAGCAAAAGCACAUAGAACCAUAAAUACAUGAAUGUGUUUAUAUGGUCUGUAUAAAAACGGACAGUUGCAUCUCUCUCCUUUCCAGGUACAGUAAUGUGUGUAAUAGAUCUUUCGUGUGUGUGUGUGUGUUUUGAAAAGCAUACUUGGCAAGACUGUGCAUGCUGCUGCGACUGUGGAGCUCGGUGAAAGAAACAGUGAGUGAGCAGGAGUCUGGCCCAAGAGUCUGUCACAACCACGACAAACGUGCUCAAAUCUGAUGAAACGGAAGCAACGACAUGAAGAGGACAUGAAGAAGAUGCUGUCACUUAAAAUACUGUGUUUGAGGUCAAAGUGACCACCAGAGUCAGGGAUCAGAUCCACAACAGACGGUGUGUGGUCUGUCAUCAAGCCAAAACCACUGUGCUGUUUGACCGCCUCUGCUGCAGACACACAGUUAUUAUUCUCGACAGAGUUUCCUCCUGGACACAGCCAUCAGUAAAAUGCAGAGGAAGACCAGCUACUGCUGCACCCUUUGUUGUAAUUAUGCAGCUAUUUAUAAUAUACUGUGAGAAACUGUCCACACGUCAUGAUCAGUAAUGACUCGCUGCAUAUUUUAGGUUUUAGUCAGAAACACAGGAGGUGUCCUGCAGCUGAAGCUUAAACAUGGCUCACUUCAAGUCACACCUGGUUAAGUGCAGAUUUGAUCUACUCUAUUUCCAUUCUAUGCAACAUCCACUACAUCCCAGACGCAGGUAUUGUACUUUUUACUGCACUACAUCUGUCUGACAGCCGGAGUUACUUUCCAAAUAACAGUUUUUCAUCCCCUUCCUGUUCUAAGUUAAAAAAAUAUAUACAGUGGGUACGGAAAGUAUUCAGACCCCUUUAAAUUUUUCACUCUUUGUGUCAUUGCAGCCAUUUGCCAAAAUCAAAAAAGUUCAUUUUAUUUCUCAUUAAUGUACACUCAGCACCCCAUCUUGACAGAA